rnacentral:rRNA from 1 species
AGAAUCAACGCUGGCGGCGUGCCUAACACAUGCAAGUCGAACGAGAAAGUGGAGCAAUCCAUGAGUAAAGUGGCGCACGGGUGAGUAACACGUGACUAACCUACCCUUGAGUGGGGGGAUAAACCUAGGGAAACCUGGGCUAAUACCGCAUAAUACCUUCGGGUUCAAAGGAGCAAAUUCGCUUAAGGAGGGGGUCGCGGCCGAUUAGUUAGUUGGCGGGGUAAUGGCCCACCAAGACUGUGAUCGGUA